rnacentral:rRNA from 1 species
UACGUAGGGGGCAAGCGUUGUCCGGAUUUAUUGGGCGUAAAGAGCGUGUAGGCGGUUAGGUAGGUCCGUUGUGAAAACUCGAGGCUCAACCUCGAGACGCCGAUGGAAACCAUCUGACUAGAGUCCGGAAGAGGAGAGUGGAAUUCCUGGUGUAGCGGUGAAAUGCGCAGAUAUCAGGAGGAACACCGGUGGCGAAGGCGGUUCUCUGGGCAUUACCUGACGCUGAGGAGCGAAAGCGUGGGGAGCAAACAGG